GUCUCUUUUCUUAGUGUUUCUUCAGAUCCAAGUUUUGUUCUUCUCCAAACUGCCACCAUAUAUGGCAGGUGAACCUGAAGAUUUUGAAUUUAGUUUGAGAGAUGCGCCUACUCCUAUACUUCUCCCCUACAUUCGAACGCAGGGUCCCAUGCAUAUCUGUUAUGCAUAUAGUACAACAGAAGCC